UGGACUGGGGUGGAGUGGCAGAAUCUGGAUCUACUGUGAAGGUGGAGCCAACAAGGGGAGUACUGGAUGUGCAAGGCCACGGAAGUAGAGACAUGAAGGUGGGCAGGGACCUGAGGUGGCCUCUAGGAGCUGUGUGACCCCCCCAACCAACAGCCAGCAGGGACGUGGACACCUCAGACCAGCAGCCACAAGGAAGUGAACAUCGCAGACCCCCUGAAUGAGCUUGGAGAAGACCCUGAGCCUCCACGACGGCACGGAGCCCAGCUGACAGCUUGAUUUCAGCCCGGGGAGACCCUGAGCAGAGAAGCCAGCUGUGCUGUGCCCGGCCUUCUGAUUGAUAGACACUCUAAGGUCCAGAAGCUACUUCCUAUUUUUCUCUCGAGGGAUGGCAAUAGCUUGUGCAAACGCCUGGGGGUGUGCAUGUGUGUCAGAUGCGAGCUGGGUGUGCCUCACUACGACGUCUCCCCUGGUCGUGCUAGGAUCGUGCUCCGGUCCCCUGAUCACGGCUGAUUCGCUAGUGUUGACAGACACCUGACUGCAGGCUGACAAGUCUCUCCUGGGGAUGUGAAACUUGAAUGGAGGGCACGCAGGCAGGGGGCGGUGGGAAAUGCGCCACCCCUGGCCAGCGCCCUAGAGAGGACAGCCACGGGCUCUGCCACUGAACCCCCUGGACAUUCCCGAGGAGUCUUCAUGUCUGGGGCGUGCUCUUCUGCCAUCCUGGGAACAGCUCUCCAUAAAUCCACCACUGGGCAACUUGGUGAGUCACUUUCUGGUGUUUGUCACCCAGUUCUCUCUGGCCGAUGUGGUGAUGGGGGGACAGAGCAUUGUAGGGGGGCUGAGGGCAGACUGUGGGAGGGAGCAGUGACCCUCUGGUCUGUGCAGGCAGCUGUGGAUGCUUCUGUGCAGAAAGAGCACUGGACUUGGAGUCUGGCUCUGUGACUUACCAGCUGUGUGAUCUUGAGCAAGUCACUCAGCCUUUCUGUGUGGUCCAGUGGGGUGGAACCAGGGGGGAUCCUGAAUGAGCAGAUGGGGAAACUGAAGACCAGAGAGAGGAGGGGCUUUACUUAAAGCCACACAGCAGGUUUAGGACAGACCCCGGAGAGCUGCUGGGUCCGCCAAAUGCCAGCCCUGAGCGGGGCGUCUGCUGGAGCAGGAAGCUCGUCUCUGACAGCAGGGCCUGCUUCCCCCAAGGAAACGUCACCGACCACAGAUUCCCUUCCCCACCGAUUGUUGCGUUUGGUCUGGUGAUAGCAUCAACGUCAUACUCGGGGGCAGAGCAAACUGAGCCCAGGGAGGGGCAGAGACUUGUCCACAGUCACACCGCAAGUUCCUGGCAGAACUGGAGUCUGAGCCAGAUCUGAAAAGCCCUGAGAUUUUGCUCUAAAUCAGUGUUUGUCAAGCUGAAGUCCGGGGAUGAGCUGGGGACGGUGAGUAACUAGCUCUCCGUAAGAAUUUCGUAAAUGGUUUACUUGCAUUUUGAUGAUGACCCUGAGAAAGUAACUCAGACUUACUGUGAAUCAUUGGUGUGACCGCAGGCGAGUCCUGCCUGAGAUCGGAUGGACUUGAGGUCACACUGGCAUCAAAGAACAACAUUUAUUGAGAACUGACUAUGGGCCAGGCCCCAUGCUUUGCAUUUUCCAUGAAUGUAUCAUGUAGUUAACCCUCACAACAACCCUAUAAAAUAGGUACUAUUAUCAUCCCCAUUUCACAGGUCAGGAGGUUGAGGCACAGAGAAGUUAGGUUACUUGCAACCAGGUCAACAGCGAGUAAGGGGUGCAUCCGAGAUUUGAAGCCAGGCCGACUCCAGAGCCCGUGGUCUGGACCACUGUGCUUUCCCACUGCCGUCAGCUCUGGGCGAUGGGAAAGGGGCAGAGGCGGCCUUGAUGCGGAAGGACAAAUUCCUGCUAAGGGCAGGCCGAGCGAGGCAGAGGCAGAGAGUGGGAAGGACGUGUCGCUGUGGGUGAAACAGAGCCACCGGGUGGGAGAAGAAAGUCAUCAGCUCACGGAGUUGGCUGGAAGGGUGUGACGAACCCGAAAGAAAUGGCAGCAGGGCUGGGUGUCCCAUGUUCACACUGCCAGUGACAAUUCAGGUUUAGCAAAGGCACAUUGUCCGUGUCACUAAAUUACCGUUGCUGCAUUGAUGCCAUGGCAGCAUACCUCACAGCAGCUAGAGCCGCAGGCUUCAGAGUCAUGAUUCCUGAGUUCAGAUCCAUCUUCCUCUUCGUCCUCAGACUAUGGGCAACUCACUCGGCCUCUCUGAGUCUCAGUUCUUCUCAACUCUGAAAUGGAAUUAUAAUAGCAUCUGAAAGACUGCUAAUUGCCUAUGCAGUUCCCUUCUCUCCUUUCACUUUUUUGACCAAACCCUGAUGUUAUGCCUGGUGGCAACAUACCCAGCUAAAACACUACAUUCUCAGCCUCUCUUGCAGCUACUGGUGGCCAAUGAAUGGAAGUUGUUAGGUGAAGAUUCUGGGAAAUAUCUUUAGAAGACACUGAUGCAGCUGGGAGGAAAGCCAAUUUGCCCUUCCUUCUCCUUCUUCCUACAUGGGACUCAGGCAUUAUGGCUGGAGCCCCAGCAGCCAUCUUGGAUCAAGAAGUGACCUUGACGAUGAAGCCGUAUAGUAAGGAUGAAGCAACACAAAGCUAGAAGGAACCUAUGACGUUGAUGACACCGUGAACCAGCCCUGACCUGGACUGAUCUUUCCAGACUUCUUUUUUCAAAUGAACUUUUUAUUUCAGAACAGUUUUGGAUUUACAGAAUUGUUGCAAAUAUAGUAUGGAGUUCCUAUAUACCCUAUACCCAGUUUCCCCUAUUAUUAAUAUUUUACAUUAGUAUGGUACAUUUAUCACAAUUAAUGAACCGAUAUUGUUACAUUAUUAUUAACUAAAAAGUUCACCCUUCAUUUGGAUUGCCUCUGUUUUCCUGAAUGUCCCUUUUCUGUUCUAGCAUUCCAUCCAGGGUCCUGCCUGACAUUUAGAAGUCAUGUCUCCUUAGGCUCCUCUUGGCUGUGACCGUUUCUCAGACUUUCUUUGCUUUUGAUGACCUUGAUGGUUUUGAGGAGUACUAGUUAGGGAUUUUGUAAAAUGACCCUCAAUUGGGAUUUGUCUAGUGAUUUUCUUAUGGUUAGAGCAGGUAAUGUGUUUCGGGGGGAAGACCACAGAGGUAAAGCGGCAUUGUCCCCCUAUUCCAUCCAGAGCAGACACUGUCAACGUGACUUAUCAGCGUGGAUGUGAGCUCUGGUCACCGGCAGGCUCUCCACUGUAAGAUUUCUUUCCCCCUUUUCCAUGCUGUGCUCCUUGGAACCGGUCACUGUGCCCAGCCCACACUUAAUGAGUGGGGAGUUAUCUUCCCCUCCCUAAGGGUGGAGUAGCUGCAUAAAUUAUUUCGAAUUCUUCUGCAUGGGCAGCUUGUCUCUUCUAUUUAUUUGUUUACUUAUUUACAUCAGUAUAGACUCAUGGAUAUUUAUUUUAUUCUUUGGGUUAUAAUUGUUACGACUUUUUUUUUUUUUGCUGAAAUUGUUCCACCUUUGGCCUCUUUCAGUUAGCUCCCCAGACUUCUUGACGUGACAGAAAAACAAACCGGGGUAGACAUUUUGCAACAAGUCUCCAAUUCCUCCCGUUUGUGUAUGCUCACGCCUUUACAAUGUGACUUUGCAGCUUCCCUCAUCAGGACCUGAAUUGCUCUCUGUCCCUGGAAUCUGGGCUGGGCCAUGAGACUUGCUUUGGCCAAUACGAAAAGGCCAAAGCAUGAAAAGAGCUUGUGUGUGGGGCUUGCUGCACCAGGGACCCUGAGACCACCAUGCGAGCAAGCCCGGGCGAACCUGCUGGAGGAUGAGAGGCCAUGUGGCCCGGUUGCCUCCACCGCCCUUGCCUACAGCCAGACCACAGCCAUGUGAGGGAGGCCUUUGACCGUAGUUGACUGCAGAUGUACGAUGAACCCAGAGACCAGCCGUCCCCACUGGGCCCAGUCCGAGCUGCCAGCCUACCGAGUCAUGCGCAAACCAACGUUUUUUGCUGUUUGAGAUCUAUCAGCUGGAGCGGAGACCUCAUUUAUGAUUGUGCACAAAUAAGUAACCUUCUGGCCAUGCCCUCCAGCCUCGGACCACCAGGAUCACCCCUGUAGGACUUGGCUGUCACCCGAGAGGCUCAGGUGGUUCGGAGCACCACCCAGGCCAAGUGGUCCCGGCCAGCUCCUGGGGGCAGGCUGCCUCCUCUUCCUCCAUCUAGCAGACACUGGUGGGUCCCAGAGGAUGCCUUCUCCCGCCAGAGGGCCGGCCAGAACUCAGCCCCGUUUGUGGCUUCAAUCCUCAGACUCGCCUCAUGGUGCAAGCUGCUGGUGCUCCACCCAUCACACCUACAUCUCAGGUAAAAGGAAAGGGGAGAACAAAGGGGUCCACCUUCUGGUUGGGUCAGCAUUCCCAUUUUCCUAACAUGACAUCUCUUCUUACAUAUCAUUUCCCAGAACAUGGUCACAUGCCAUACCUUAACAUCAAGAGAAUCUGGGAAAUGUGACCUUUAUAUGGGCACAUUAUUACCCAGAAGUGGUGUGUGUGUGUGUGGUUUUUUUUAAAAGGCCGUACAUUCUUUGACACACAGCGAGAGGUGGGGUCUGUCACCGUCCCCCUGCCUCUACCCGCACUCCGCAAAUCGGGGCUGGGGCUCAGAGACCCCUUUGACCAGCAGAACAGGGCAGAGUGAUGCUUUUAUAAAGUUGUUUACCACACCAGGUCAGAAAAGGCCAUGUGGCUUCUUCCAGUUUGGCUCGGAACCAAGACUGGCUUCACGGGCGUGUGACUCACUUAGCUGCACAGGGCCCUGUGCUCAGAGGGUCAUUCACUUGUGUCAACGCUCUGCCGCAGUCCUGAAAUUCUUAGAGAUUUUAUCUUUGACCUUGUUUUGUGAGUAAAGUCUGAUGGGACAAUGGAGCAUGCGCAAUGCAGAGGACAUGGGUGCCCCAGUUCCUUGCCACCCUAUCAGUACACGCGUCUGUGAUGCUGCUGCACGGCGUCCGUGACACGCUUACCUUGUGUGUGGGCCCUGUGCUCAGAAGGGCUCCUCUCUUGUUUUAAUGCUCUGCUGUCACAUCUCGAAAUUCUUAGCAGUUUUAUCUUUGGACUUGUGUGUUGGAAGUGAAUUCCGACGGACAAUGGAGCGUGCACGUGAGCGGAAGAGAUAAACGCAGUCUGGGUGUCCGCCAUCCACACAGCGUGUUCACAGCGUCCCACAAGCAGGGAGCUCUGGUGGCCCCACAGUGCAGGGUCAUUCAGCGAGACUCCGGUGAGCACAAGGUGAGCAUGUGGCGUCUCAGAUCGAGUAAGUAGGGGCGCAUCCCAGAGGCCACGCUUUCUGUUCGAACCAGGAUUUCCUUUGGUCACGGAGACAAAGCCAGUGGUGUUCUAAGAAACACAGACCACCCGGCAACCUUGUCAUAUCCUUUCUUAUCCAUGUCACUUCUCUGUAUCAGCCAACCGCUUACACUGAAAAUGAUGAGACACGGGACACAGCACUGUUCCCCUUCCUGUCCUUACUCAUCGGUAAGUAGGAAGCCGGGAGUCUUGGCAGAAGGCGUGACUACCAAGAAGUGAGAUAAAAACAGUCGUGUCAGUUUGGGGCAGCAGGUCCGCUGUCCUGGCGAGGAUGAAAUGCACGAGGAUGAGCUGUGAAAUCCCGGUGGGGUCAUUUCAGCGAUUCCACAUAUGAGUUAAUGCUCUUCCACUGGCAUUUAAAACUGACAUUGCACAAUAGGACGAUGAAUAGUAAAAUUCAUGCUAAUCAUUUAACAUCUUCGUUUUUCUUUACUUAGAAUAACAUUUAGUAGUAAAUUAAAAACACCAUGACAAGACGAGACAGGGAUUAAAAGAAAGGAGAGACUUUUUAUUCCAUAUCUACACUGGCACUUUUUCCCUACUUUCUGGACAAGGGGCACCGUAUUGUGUUGCUGGCCCGGCUUGGAAGCUUGCUGUCAGGACGCUUCGUCUCAGAACCCAGUCGCCAUGUGGUGAGGACCCAACCCCCAGGGAAAGGGCGUGUGUGGGUGCCCCGGUCUACAGCCCUACCCAAGCCCAGCCUUUGAGUCACCCCAGCCGAGUGACAGAAAUAAACCUCCAGAGGAUUCCAUUCCCGCCUCUGCCGGCCUUCCCCACACCGCGCCCAAACUUCCAGACGCCUGCGUCGAGCCCAGCCCUCGUGGAGCAGAGAUAAGCCAUCCCCACUCGGCCCCGUUUGAAUUCCUGACCUCCAGAAUCGUGCGACUGGGCGAGUGCAAUGAGCAGAA